rnacentral:rRNA from 1 species
AGUGAACGCUGGCGGUAGGCCUAACACAUGCAAGUCGAACGGAAGCACAGUAAGAGCUUGCCCUUACGGGUGGCGAGUGGCGGACGGGUGAGGAAUACAUCGGAAUCUACUUUUUCGUGGGGGACAACGUAGGGAAACUUACGCUAAUACCGCAUACGACCUACGGGAGAAAGCAGGGGUUCUUCGGACCUUGCGCGAUUGAAUGAGCCGAUGUCGCAUUAGCUAGUUGGCGGGGUAAAGGCCCACCAAGGCGACGAUCCGUAGCUGGUCUGAGAGGAUGAUCAGCCACACUGGAACUGAGACACGGUCCAGACUCCUACGGGAGGCAGCAGUGGGGAAUAUUGGACAAUGGGCGCAAGCCUGAUCCAGCCAUGCCGCGUGGGUGAUGAAGGCCUUCGGGUUGUAAAGCCCUUUUGUUGGGAAAGAAAAGCAGCAGGUUAAUACCCGGCUGUUUUGACGGUACCCAAAGAGUAAGCACCGGCUAACUUCGUG